GAGCCUGCUUGGCAUGUUUAAGGUACUGCAGGAAGGUGAGUGUAACUGUUUGGAGCAAGCAGGGAACAGCCGGAGUCUAAUAUGCGGUUUCCAGUAGAAUGACGUGAAUGCUAGCGGGAAAAUACGAUCAACAUUAGUAUUUUUACCGGCCUGUAAUACAAUACCUUGGAGCACAAUAUAUUUUUUUUCUGACUUUUGAGUGCAGGUGUAUUUGUAAAGAAGAGGAUAAGGUAUAAUAUGUACAACUUACAUUUGAGCAGUGUUGUGAAGUACUUUCACACAUUAUUUUGAGACUCCAGGAUUUUUUUAAAUCCCAUUUUCUCAGAUGAGAACCCUCGAUUCUCACAGAUCAGAAUGUCUGCACUUUGCCUGAGCUCCGCGUUAAUGCGAGGCGGUAGCAGAACCCAGAUCUUCUGGACCCAAAUUCACUCCUUUGUGCUGCCCUCGUCGCUUAGAUAUGGUGAGAUGACCAACGGGACCAUAGAAGGCAGGAUGUUCGGGAAAGGUUGCCUGACAGAUCGUUCAUUCAUUCGUCCACACUUGAGAUGUGAUUGUGCCAAGCCCUCAGCAAGGCGGGGGUCCCUCAGCGAGGCUGGGGGUGCAAGGACAACGAGAGUCCUGGCCUCAAGGAACUCACGGUGUCCCGCAGAGGACACAGGCGGCAAGGGGACGAUGGCUAGAGCAGAGCGCCGAUCGAGUAGUUGGGAGCGCUUCCCGAACGCCCAAGGCGGGUGAGGCCGGCGCAGAGCUGGGUGCGUGCCCGUGUGACUUAAACAAGGAGGCCCGUGUGACUUAAACAAGGAGGCCACUCACUGAGGUGAGUGGUACCCCAACAGCCUACCCAAGCACACCCAGCCCUAAGCCUGCCAGUGCCUCAAGGAGAGAUCAAAACUAAGAACAGCCAGUCACAAACAGCCACGUGGGCUUUUCCAAUGAAUGCAACGGCUUGAGCGACAGCCACCCAAACACUGUCGUUGCUUUGUGCCCGCCUCUCCCCAGGCUCCCGUUGGUGGCGUGUGCCUCCCCACUUCUCGUCUGAAGCUGCCCGGCUGGAGAUCUUUACUCAAGCCCUGAAAGUGUUUCACAUGCCUCAGUUUAUCUUGUAGCACCAGGUGCCAGCACAUCGGCUCAAACACUCUGCUCAUCUGCUCGUCUCUCGGCCAAUGCCCUUCGUGGAGCGUUCUCUGAGGCAGCCCCUCCUUUGUGUCUGUGCCGUCUGGACUGUGAGCUCCGUACGGAUGGUGAGGAUUAUCCGUUGAUAUCGUUUCCCCGGGCCUGCCCAGAACCCAGCCAAGAUGGACAGGGCUGACCUGUCAUUGGGCUGCUGGGCGUGGGCCGGCCACACACGCUCCCGGGUUUGCAGAAUUGAGCUGUGCACCAGUCUGUCGAGCGGGAGCCGGGGGGGGGAGUGGGCGUGUCUGCACAGUGUCAGUGGUGGCCGCUGGGAAAGAGAAAGGAGCCGUUUCUGGGUGCCUGUCAUUUCUAAAUGCCAUCAGAAUCCACCUCAUUUUCUAAGCUAGAAUCUUGUAAUCACCUCUGUUCCUUCUUCACUUGCUACCCGCCUCCCCAUCUAUCCAGUCACUAGCUCCUGUCAGUCCCGAGCCUCCCUGCGUCUCGCCACCGUCACUGCAGAUUCCACAGCCCAGGCCCUCAUUAGUGCUCGCUCGUCUGGAAUCAAUGGCUCCUUACUGGUCUUGCUCCCCAGCUCUCCCGCCCUUCAUUCCUCCUCUCCUUUGUCCUCCCACUGCUGCCAGGGUGGGCUUGCUGAAGCAGGUCUGAUCCUGUCCCCAUCCCGAGAGCAGCAUCCUGGGGGACUCCCCCUGCCCUGCAAGAGAGAGUCCAAAUCUCCAUCCACCUUGCACCAGUUUCUCCCCUUUGGCCACCCGCUCGCCCACAGGGUAACACAGUCUCCCGAGACUCUGCACCAUGGCCUUGGCCCUGCUGUUUCUAAGCCUGUGUGGUUCUCCCACGUUUCAAGACCCAACUCAGGGGCUCCUUCCUCUAUCAGGAGGCCGGCACAGUGAGCUCGUGGGGAGAGGUUAACUCUAGGGAAAAAAAGGAAAAAGAGGGCCAGAGUUAUAAGAUUUGUAAUCUGUUAAUGCAUGUCUGUUCCAGCUGCUGGUGUAUUUGUCUCUGUGAGUCGCUUAGCUCCUGGAGGACAAGAAUUGUGUGUUGUGUUUAUAUCCUUUGCACACAGCCUAAGUACUCAGCAAAUAUUUGUGAAGUAAACGAGGCUGGAGCUGGGAGGGAACAAAUGUUUGUUGAGAACCUAUUGUGAACCUAUAUGCUUUUCACAUAUUUCAUUCCCAAAACAACUUUUUGAGAGACAUAUUAUUUGCUAACAAGAAAACAGGCUUAAAUAAAUAGUGGGUUUCCUCAAGGUCGUAGGCGUGUAAGGAGUGGAGCGAGAGUUGGAACCUAAGUCUGUCCGGCUAAAACUGUCCUUGACUGAGUAGUUCUCAGCCAGGGGCCGUCUUGUCCCCAACUCGGGGCACACGUGCAGUUGUUACUGGUGGGUAGGGUCACUGAUGUCCAGUGGGCAGAGGCCAGGGGCGCUGCGGAACAGCCCCCACUGCCUGGACAUGCCCCACGACAAAGACGCAUCUGACCCCAAGCGUCAGCAGUGGCCAGAUGGAGAAACCUUGCCCCAGACCUUGCUGACUCUAUUGAAAAGCAGAUAACCGACCAAAACGAAAGCUUCCCUAAGGAAGCGGACUGGGCUGAAGGAAGCCGUCAGGGCUGGGGGCAGUCCUGAGCCUUGGGCCCUGCUGGGUGUGAGGCCUCCCUGGCCAGUCCAGACUGCCCCAAUCCUAGGCUGCCUCCACACCGUCUUUCUUCUUCCCAUCUUCUCCUCACUUUUUCUUUCCCUCGGCACCCUCCAGUGUAGCUUCGAGAAGGCACCCAGAUCCCUCCAACGCUUUCAGAACUCUUCCUAGCUAGAAGGUAGUCAGUGUGUAAGGAGCCGCAGGUUUCAAACUGACACCAUCCCUAGAAUCUGGGAACGAGGCCAGAAACGUCAGCUUCUGAAAUUGACAGCAAAAGGUGGGUGAGAUUCCUCGCAGUGAUAAUCUUCCCGGGAAAGAACCCACCUAAGAAAUUCUGGCCAAGUUUGCCGCUGAUAAGGCUUGGCAGUUUCCUCGUCGCUGUCAGGGCCCAAGAAUGCCUCCCCGUGAAGGGAAGCACUUAAAACCCACUUGUGUGAGAUCCGCCAUAAUCUAGGAAAUUUUAAAAUGCUUGUCCCCGGGGAAGUGCCCCAGUGGGAAGCUUUUAAUGACUCGUAAGUGUGGCUGCCUGUAAUUGUCAGGGAUGUGUGCACGUGUGUGUGUGUGUGUGUGCGCGCGCGUUUUCUCAGCAUUGUAAACUCCAGGAGGAAGGAACCAGCUUUACUUCAUCGGCAGCCCUGGCAGUGAAGGUGCGGGCGAGCCAUCAACAGCCAGAGCGCGUGGGAAUUUGUGGCGGUGCGUGUGCACAGGGGCAGAGGGAGGGCACGAAAGUACUAUUCCUAGUGAAAUGAUUCUUCACCAGAAAGCUGAGAACUGCUGUUGCAUGCAAAAUUGCGUGUGUGUAUGUGUGCCCAUUUUUUGGUGGAAAAUAUCUGUAGCCUUCUUCAAAGGGGCCCUUGAGGUCCAAAGAAUGAAGCCCCCAGCCCUGGUGAUGGCCCACAGCUCCUGGGCCAAUGAGAUAGGAAGAAGAUAACCCAGGGAAGACAAGGGAGGCGAGUUCCUCCCCGGAGAGAGUGGUUUCUCUUCAGCACUGGGAUUUAUCAAUGGCAAGCAUGAAGCCCCUUUGUGCACAUAUAUAAGCAUGCAUGGGGCGGUGGGGGGGGGCGAGACAAGCUGUAAGCAAACAUCAGGCAGGACAGAGUCCAACCUCAAGGAUGCUGGAGAAAAGUUACACAGGGUCAUGGGAGUGCCAGGAGAGAAUGAGAGAGAGAGAGAGAGAUCGAGCAAAUCUGUGCCAACAUGGAUGCUGACUUUGGGUCUCGCAGGUGCCUGGGGAGUAAGAGAAGGGUCCUGUGAGGCUUUCUAGGAGGCAGAUGACGGAGGUAGAUGGACUCCUUUGGUGGUUUUUCUCGAAGAUACUGUCAGCUGUCAGUUAUAGAAACCGACUUUAGCUAGGGGACUUCUUCAAAAAACUCCUGGGAUGGUCAUAAACUCCAAAGGAAAAGCUGAGCGAGGAAGUCUACAGGGCAAGUAACGGGGCAGCUUGGGGACUCCCCGAGUGACUUCCAGUUCCUGGAUCUUUGUGUCUGGGUUUUACAUCUCCAGGAAGGAAGGUGGCUGUGGGGACUGGUCCCAGAGAGGAGGAGACCAUGUCGUUGGCUGCAGCCAUGACCACUGUUGGCUCGGAGCAGGUGUCCUCUCUUGAAAAGGUGGGAGACCUGUAGCUGAGUCUUCUGACUGGUCACACAGCCUGCGCCCUCGAGGCAUAUUCUUAAUUCCUUACCGUUUGAAAAUCUAAUUAAUAGGAACGGGGUGGAAAUGGGGUGGGAGAAGUUUCACCCCAAGGAAACAAAAGUGCAGGAUGAACUUGGAAUCCCUGAAAUAGAAAGGAGAAUAAUUUGCAGGACUGGGGAGCGGAGGAAGGGCCUCCACAGACCUCGUGGACCACGGUGAGAAGUGAAGGGGUUUCCGCAGGUGACAUAGAAAACUGUUGGAGGGAUUCCGGCACAUAAAUUACGUUAAAUAAAAUCCCUCUGCCAGCCUAAUGGAGAACGUGUUCUAGAAAGACCCCCCUGGAGUUAUUACAGUCACACAGAUGCGAGGUGAUGGUGGCCAGGGUCAGGGAGUCAGCCGCCAGAUUCCAGACGUCACAACACCGGGCGGUGUGGGCUCGGCACCUGAGGGAGUCUAGCUGGACCGCAACGGGCAGAGGGGACAGGAAGCAGUCAGUCGGGUCAGAGAAAGGCCAUUUUGUUUUUAAAGCGCGGGCUGUUAAUUUGUAGCUUGGACAUGUAUCACUUAGUUUAUUUUGGACCCUUGCAUUUUUAUUUACAACUCCACCCUCAGAUUCGUCUAGGAACUGUCACACCCUUCCCAGCUCCACACUUUCCCUUACCUGAAUCAUUGGCAGGAUCUCUCUAGCUUCUCUGUGUGUUUGAGGGGCUGGCAGGAAUUCACUGUUAACGGGGGCCAGAAGGAAGGCCAAGUCUGCAAUACAUCUCUCCCUGGGCCUGUAAAUAUGUGUAUAAGGUCCAUUAACUGUAUUAAGUUGCCGUGGGUAAACCAGGCACUGACAGGCCAUUCUCAUAAACCACAUGCAGAAAUCCCACUUUGUGGAUUAUUUGCGAUAAAAUGUUAAUUUUCCAGAGUGUUCCAUUAAAGCCUGCCUAAGCUGUCUUCCUGCACUUUGCAUAUUUCUGGAGCCGCUCUCUUUACCCGUGUUUAGCAUUCGACUUGACUUUGGAAGCCGUCCAAGCAAAACAUAAGUAGACAGAUUAACCUUCCAGAAACGGACUUGCUGAGUUGAAGGUUCUGACACAUGUUGCUGAACUGUUCUACACAUUGUUUGUGUAUCCUUCCACCAACAACGGAUGCCUUUUCAGCCUGGAACAAAAAAAA